CCUACGGGAGGCAGCAGUGGGGAAUAUUGGACAAUGGGUGCAAGCCUGAUCCAGCCAUGCCGCGUGAGUGAUGAAGGCCUCAGGGUUGUAAAGCUCUUUCGUCCGGGACGAUAAUGACGGUACCGGAAGAAGAAGCCCCGGCUAACUUCGUGCCAGCAGCCGCGGUAAU
rnacentral:rRNA from 1 species